rnacentral:rRNA from 1 species
GAUGAACGCUGGCGGCGUGCCUAAUACAUGCAAGUCGAGCGAACAGACGAGGAGCUUGCUCCUCUGACGUUAGCGGCGGACGGGUGAGUAACACGUGGAUAACCUACCUAUAAGACUGGGAUAACUUCGGGAAACCGGAGCUAAUACCGGAUAAUAUAUUGAACCGCAUGGUUCAAUAGUGAAAGACGGUUUUGCUGUCACUUAUAGAUGGAUCCGCGCCGCAUUAGCUAGUUGGUAAGGUAACGGCUUACCAAGGCAACGAUGCGUAGCCGACCUGAGAGGGUGAUCGGCCACACUGUAACUGAGACACGGUCCAGACUCCUACGGGAGGCAGCAGUAGGGAAUCUUCCGCAAUGGGCGAAAGCCUGACGGAGCAACGCCGCGUGAGUGAUGAAGGUUUUCGGAUCGUAAAACUCUGUUAUUAGGGAAGAACAAAUGUGUAAGUAACUAUGCACGUCUUGACGGUACCUAAUCAGAAAGCCACGGCUAACUACGUG